GAUGAACGCUAGCGGGAGGCCUAACACAUGCAAGCCGAGCGGUAGAGAUCUUUCGGGAUCUUGAGAGCGGCGUACGGGUGCGGAACACGUGUGCAACCUGCCUUUAUCAGGGAGAUAGCCUUUCGAAAGGAAGAUUAAUAUCCCAUAAUAUAUUGAAUGGCAUCAUUUAAUAUUGAAAGCUCCGGCGGAUAGAGAUGGGCACGCGCAAGAUUAGAUAGUUGGUGAGGUAACGGCUCACCAAGUCAGUGAUCUUUAGGGGGCCUGAGAGGGUGAUCCCCCACACUGGUACUGAGACACGGACCAGACUCUUACGGGAGGCAGCAGUGAGGAAUAUUGGACAAUGGGUGAGAGCCUGAUCCAGCCAUCCCGCGUGAAGGACGACGGUUCUAUGGAUUGUAAACUUCUUUUAUACUGGGAUAAACCUACCCUCGUGAGGGUAGCUGAAGGUACAGUAUGAAUAAGCACCGGCUAACUCCGUGCCAGCAGCCGCGGUAAUACGGAGGGUGCAAGCGUUAUCCGGAUUUAUUGGGUUUAAAGGGUCCGUAGGCGGAUCUGUAAGUCAGUGGUGAAAUCUCACAGCUUAACUGUGAAACUGCCAUUGAUACUGCAGGUCUUGAGUAAAGUAGAAGUGGCUGGAAUAAGUAGUGUAGCGGUGAAAUGCAUAGAUAUUACUUAGAACACCAAUUGCGAAGGCAGGUCACUAUGUUUUAACUGACGCUGAUGGACGAAAGCGUGGGGAGCGAACAGGAUUAGAUACCCUGGUAGUCCACGCCGUAAACGAUGCUAACUCGUUUUUGGGUUUUCGGAUUCAGAGACUAAGCGAAAGUGAUAAGUUAGCCACCUGGGGAGUACGUUCGCAAGAAUGAAACUCAAAGGAAUUGACGGGGGCCCGCACAAGCGGUGGAUUAUGUGGUUUAAUUCGAUGAUACGCGAGGAACCUUACCAAGGCUUAAAUGGGAAUUGACAGGUUUGGAAACAGACUUUUCUUCGGACAAUUUUCAAGGUGCUGCAUGGUUGUCGUCAGCUCGUGCCGUGAGGUGUUAGGUUAAGUCCUGCAACGAGCGCAACCCCUGUCACUAGUUGCCAUCAUUCAGUUGGGGACUCUAGUGAGACUGCCUACGCAAGUAGAGAGGAAGGUGGGGAUGACGUCAAAUCAUCACGGCCCUUACGCCUUGGGCCACACACGUAAUACAAUGGCCGGUACAGAGGGCAGCUACUAUGCGAAUAGAUGCGAAUCUCGAAAGCCGGUCUCAGUUCGGAUUGGAGUCUGCAACUCGACUCUAUGAAGCUGGAAUCGCUAGUAAUCGCGCAUCAGCCAUGGCGCGGUGAAUACGUUCCCGGGCCU
rnacentral:rRNA from 1 species